UUAGAUGAUACACUUGUUUGCACGAUGUUUAAACAUUUCAUACACAUGCUGACACUUAAGUAAGCAAGGUUACUGUAAACAUUUCCGACCAGACCGACUAUGUUGUUAUUCGUAGUAAUUGCGUGUUUGGUUGGCUGUAAUACAGGAAGGACAUUCACGAACUGCCCAAACGAUUGGAUAGCCCACGAUGGGUCGUGCUACCUGUUUGGUCACGAGGACAACUAACUUGAUUUCACAACCGCCGAGCAAUUCUGUCGCCAGCGCGGAGGUCAUCUGAUUCACGUGGAUGACGCGCAAGAAAACGCCUUCAUAAAGGACCAGCUGAAUGAACGCAAACCUAUUCAUUGGUGGCUGGGCAUUACUGACGAUGAUGCGAAAGGGGUCUGGAGAUGGUUUGACGAUGACACUGUGGCUGAAUAUACAGACUUUGAGUCGAAUGACCAUUUCCACCCAGGUGAAGACUGUGGGUUGUUUGCAUCAAUCUAUGAGUUCAGAUGGGCUGACAUUGAAUGUACAGCUCACUACCCCCCUCUUUGCGAACUAAGUGCACGCAACACUGAGGUCGAGACUGUUGGCUAAUAUCGAUGAGAUGACAUCUUGACACUUUCUUACUUCUUGUGUGUACAAGGACGAAUAUGUGUAAUUAAUGUACCAAUGAAUAUUAAUAUUAGACAUGACGUACUUGGUAAGAUAAAAGGCUUCAGCUUA